rnacentral:sRNA from 1 species
CCACCUCCCACCCUGCUGCCUUCAUCCCCCAGGCGCUGAAGUACGCCUUCCAGACCCACGACCGCCUGUGCUUUGUGAUGGAGUAUGCCAACGGGGGUGAGCUGUUCUUCCACCUGUCCCGGGAGCGUGUCUUCACAGAGGAGCGGGCCCGGUUUUAUGGUGCAGAGAUUGUCUCGGCUCUUGAGUACUUGCACUCACGGGACGUGGUAUACCGCGACAUCAAGGUGCUGGAGGACAAUGACUAUGGCCGGGCCGUGGACUGGUGGGGGCUGGGUGUGGUCAUGUACGAGAUGAUGUGCGGCCGC